CCCUUCUUUGUGAACUAUUAUGUAUAAAAUAUCCAGAAAAAGCUUAUCGAGACUAUUGAUAGUGCUUCUCUAAUGCUCGAGUAAGGUAGUAAACGGUGAGAUGAACGCCACCAAUGUUGUCGUCUCAGCCAUGUACGCCACUCUUAACUGAAUAUCUAGUCUGAAAGAUCCAAAAAUCUUAUUGAGGUAUUGAUAUUGCUUCUCUACUAAUCGAAGAUGGACAUAAUCUAAGGAUGGGAUCCACUCGCCUCAAGAAGGACGAUGACCACAACGAGGUAUAUAUACCAUCUGUGCUCAUACCAUUUUAUUACAUUUACACCUUCUUAUCCAUGUGUAAUU
rnacentral:lncRNA from 1 species